rnacentral:rRNA from 1 species
UACGAAGGGGGCUAGCGUUGUUCGGAAUUACUGGGCGUAAAGGGCGCGUAGGCGGGCUGUCAAGUCUGGGGUGAAAUCCCACGGCUCAACCGUGGAACUGCCUUAGAUACUGACGGCCUCGAGGGAGAUAGGGGCGAGCGGAACUGUGAGUGGAGCGGUGAAAUGCGUUGAUAUUCACAGGAACUCCGGUGGCGAAGGCGGCUCGCUGGAUCUUUUCUGACGCUGAGGCGCGAAAGCUAAGGGGAGCAAACGGG